rnacentral:rRNA from 1 species
AACGAACGCUGGCGGCGUGUUUAAGACAUGCAAGUCGCACGGUGUCAUUUUGGUAGCAAUACUUGGAUGGCACAGUGGCGCACGGGUGAGUAACACGUGAAUUACAUGCCCUGUAGAGGGGGAUAGCCCAGGGAAACUUGGAUUAAUACCCCAUGGUCUCGCAAGAGUAAAGGUGGCCGCAAGGCUGUCGCUACAGGAUUGGUUCGCGCCCUAUCAGCUUGUUGGCGGGGUAACGGCCCACCAAGGCUACGACGGGUAUCUGGUCUGAGAGGACGAUCAGGCACACUGGAACUGAGACACUGUCCAGACACCUACGGGUGGCAGCAGUCGAGAAUAAUUCACAAUGGGGGCAACCCUGAUGGUGCAACGCCGCGUGGAUGAUGACGGUCUUCGGAUUGUAAACUCCUGUCAUCCGGGAGUAAGACCUGGGCAUGAAUAGUGCACAGGGUUGAUAGUACCGGAAGAGGAAGGGACGGCUAACUUCGUGCCAGCCGCCGCCGUAAAAC